rnacentral:rRNA from 1 species
AUGAACGCUGGCGGCGUGCCUAACCCCUGCAAGUCGAACGGAGUCCAGCCUUUAAGACCUUCGGGUCAAAGAGGGGAAGACUGAGUGGCGGACGGGUGAGUAACACGUGGGCAACCUGGCUCAUAGAGGGGGAUAACAGAGAGAAAUUUCUGCUAAUACCGCAUAAGCACACACUGCCGCAUGGCAGAGGGUGAAAAGAGAAUCGCUAUGAGAUGGACCCGCGUCUGAUUAGCCAGUUGGCAGGGUAAGAGCCUACCAAAGCGACGAUCAGUAGCCGAUCUGAGAGGAUGAACGGCCACAUUGGGACUGAGACACGGCCCAAACUCCUACGGGAGGCAGCAGUGGGGGAUAUUGCACAAUGGGGGGAACCCUGAUGCAGCGACGCCGCGUGAGUGAAGAAGUAUUUCGGUAUGUAAAGCUCUAUCAGCAGGGAAGAUAAUGACAGUACCUGAAUAAGAAGCCCCGGCUAACUACGU